rfam:Batrachochytrium dendrobatidis JEL423 supercont1.70 mitochondrial scaffold, whole genome shotgun sequence.
GAUAAAGAAGUAAUAAUAAAGAGAAUUAAUUAAUGAUAGAGUAUAGUACCGAGAGGGAAAGUUGAAUCAAGAACCUAUCUAUAGGAGUGAAAAGAACCUUAAUUUUCUAUAUAAUAAAUUCUAAAUUCAGAAUAGAAGAUAGAAUUACCUUUUGCAUAAGGGAUCAGUAAGUUAAUUCAUCUAGUAAGAAGAAAUUCAAUUGAAAAAUAAAGAAUUAGAUGAAUUAGACCCGAAACCUAAUGAUCGAAUCAUCAUCAGAAUAAUAGUUCGUACCUGUUUAUGUAGCAAGAUAAUAGGAUGAAUGAUGAUUAGGAAUUAAAUAUCAAUCGAAUUAGGAGAUAGCUGGUUAAUCAUGAAAACUAUGGCAGUAGUACUUUCCAUUCUCAUUAUUUCUAUUAGUACAAUCUAUUUCUUUAAUAAUUCGGAAAAAUAGAAAAUUAUAAAAUGGAAAAGUCAGAUUGUAGAUGAGAAGAUCUAUAAUCAAGAGAGAAAUAACUCCAUUUAGUAAAUAAGGUUCCUCAAUAAGAAUUCAGUGAAUAGAAAAUUAGAUGAACAUUUGUGUGAAUUCAUGUUAACUUGGAAGUAGUUAUCAUUUUUAGAGUGAGUAAUAUCUCUAAUUCAUUCUUUCCUCUUUUUACUAAUAAUCGGAUCUAUAUUCUUUACCCUAUUUCUAAUUUCCUAUUUGAUAGGAAAGGUAAUGAUUAAUAUUCAAAUUGAAUAUAUAUAAUGCUGAUAUGAGUAACGUAAAAAUGUUUUAUACAUUUGAUAAAAUUCAAGGUUUUUAAUGUUCAUUAAUAUACAUUAAAAUUAGAUAGUAUCUAAGGAUUAAUAUAAUCCGAUGAGAAUUGAAUCCAAUAACUGGAAAGAAUAAAACUAUACUAAAACCGACACUGGUGAAUUUAAUAUUUGCAAAUAACCAUUCUAAAGGAACUCGGCAAAUUGAUUUUCGACUGUGACCUCAAACAUAAGACUAAGCUAACUUAAAUAGAUUCUAUUUGGUCUGAUAUCUGCUCAAUGUUAGGUAGUGAACUAUUUUUAUUAUAUCUAAAUAUUAAACCCUAAUCAAUAGCGGUUGUAAUUCUAACGAUCCUAAGGUAGCGAAAUUCCUCGGCAUUUAAUUGAUGUCCAUGCAUGAAUGAUAAAACGAAAGAUCGACUGUCUCUAGAAUGGAUUGCGUGAAAUUUUAUUAAGGGUGCAGAUACCCUUUUCUCUCAGAGGGACGAGAAGACCCUUGAAAUUUUAAUGUUCAUUAAUAUAUUUAUUGUUAAUUAGACAUUUUAUCUGGGGCGGAUACCUAUUAAAUAGUAACAUAGGUCUAUUAAGAUUAAUUCUUUUUAUAAUGGAAUAAAUUAAUUUGACUGUAUAAGAUAGAUAUAUCUAACAGAGAAUGAUUAUACAUUCGAUCAUAAUGACCAAAAGAUUUAUAUCUUUUUUCAUGAAUUCAUAAUUACUCAAGGGAUAACAGGCUUAUAUUGAAAUUGAGAUCUUAUCUUUUUCAAUGACUGGCACCUCGAUGUCGGCUCAUCUUUUCCUCGAAUUGUAAAGGAUUCGAAGGGUAUGGCUGUUCUCCAUAUAAUAAGGUACGUGAGCUGGGUUCAGAUCAUCGUAAGAUAGAUCGGCCUCUAUCUUCUGAGAGUUUGUAGAUUACUCAUUUUGAAUUUCAGUACGAGAGGACUUUAUUCUUUAGAUCUCUGGUCUUUACUACAUCUUUUUGUGUUAAUUUCUGAAUUCAUCUUAAGAAAGAAACCAUAUGACUCUUCUACUUAUUGGAGAUUUGAUAGAUCAUCUCUCUUUACCUU